GCCCGCCUAGCUCAAUCGGAUAGAGCGUCAGACUCUUACCACUGAUCGAGCGGGUAUCUGAAGGCUGCGAGUUCGACCCUCGCGGUGGGCU
rnacentral:tRNA from 1 species